UUUACCAUAAAGAAUUUCGUUUUCAAGUACAACAACGGGAUUAGGAUCACGAAUAGCAGCCUUCAACAAACCACGAGCAUCUUCUGCUGAGUAAGGAGAAACUACUUUAAGACCAGGGAUACUACCAUACCAUGGAGCAAAGUGUUGAGAAUGCUGAGCAGCAACUGCAGCGGCAGGCCCAUUAGGUCCACGGAAGACAAUAGGACAAGCCUGAAUACCACCAGACAUGUACAGGGUUCUGGCGGCCGAGUUAACGAUAUGAUCGAUAGCCUGCAUGGAAAAAUUGAAAGUCAUAAACUCACAAAUAGGACGUAAACCAGCAAAAGCAGCACCUGUUGCCAAACCAGUAAAACCCAUUUCAGUAAUGGGAGUGUCGAUAACACGUUUAGGACCAAACUUGUCUAAUAAACCUCUAGAUAUCUUAUAAGCACCAUUGUAUUGCGCAACCUCUUCGCCAAUCAAGAAGACACGAUCGUCACGUUUCAUUUCUUCUUCCAUUGCACUGUUCAAAGCAUCACGAACGGUCAUUUCCUUCACUCCAUUGGAAGAAGAAGAAUAGCGCUUUGCGAUGGUUGAACUAAGAAGUUUCCAAGAACGACUGGUCCCAACAAUUUCACCAAACUUUUGAAGACGAAUCAUUUUAAAUUCCCUCAAACUUCUUUUUAACUUCGUUAAAAAUUAGGGCUAUCCCGCUGUGUUGUUGUAUAUGUGUAGUGGGCAAAGUAGAACAGUGUGAUGGUAAAAUAUUUCGAGUUGGCUUAUGGUA